rnacentral:rRNA from 1 species
CCUACGGGUGGCAGCAGUGGGGAAUAUUGCACAAUGGAGGGAACUCUGAUGCAGCGACGCCGCGUGAGUGAAGAAGUAAUUCGUUAUGUAAAGCUCUAUCAGCAGGGAAGAAAGUGAAGGUACCUGAAAAAGAAGCCCCGGCUAACUACGUGCCAGCAGCCGCGGUAAUAUGUAGGGAGCCAGCGUUAUCCGGAUUUACUGGGUGUAAAGGGAGCGUAGACGGGGCUGCAAGUCCGGAGUGAAAGCCCAUGGGUUAACCAUGGUACUGCUCUGGAAACUGUGGGGCUUGAGUGCGGGAGGGGCAGGCGGAAUGCCUAGUGUAGCGGUGAAAUGCGUAGAUAUUAGGAAGAACACCGACGGCGAAGGCAGCCUGCUGGACCGUAACUGACGUUGAGGCUCGAAAGCGUGGGGAGCGAACAGGAUUAGAUACCCUAGUAGUC